rnacentral:rRNA from 1 species
UACGAAGGGUGCAAACGUUGCUCGGAAUUAUUGGGCGUAAAGCGCACGUAGGCGGCUUGGCAAGUCGGAUGUGAAAUCCCUCGGCUCAACCAAGGAAGUGCAUCCGAAACUGCCGAGCUUGAGUACUUAAGAGGAUCGCGGAAUUCCCGGUGUAGAGGUGAAAUUCGUAGAUAUCGGGAAGAAUACCGGUGGCGAAGGCGUUCCGCUGGGCCGUUGCUGACGCUGAGGCGCGACAGCGUGGGGAGCAACAGG